rnacentral:rRNA from 1 species
GUAAUUCUAGAGCUAAUACGUGCGUAAAUCCCGACUUUUGGAAGGGAAGUAUUUAUUAGAUUUAAGGCCAACCGAGCUUUUGCUUGUCUUUUGGUGAAUCAUGAUAACUUCCCGAAUUGCAUGGCCUUUGCGCCGGCGAUAUUUCAUUCAAAUUUUUGCCCUAUCAAUUGGCGAUGGUAGGAUAGAGGCCUACCCUGGUGUUAACGGGUGACGGAGGAUUAGGGUUUGAUUCCGGAGAGGGAGCCUGAGAAACGGGUACCACAUCCAAGGAAGGCAGCCGGCGCGCAAAUUACCCCAUCCUGAUACCGGGAGGUAGUGACAAUAAAUAACAAUACCGGGCUUUUCAAGUUUGGUAAUUGGAAUGAGGACAAUUUAAAUCCCUUAACGAGGAUCC